CCUACGGGUGGCAGCAGUGAGGAAUAUUGGUCAAUGGACGCGAGUCUGAACCAGCCAAGUAGCGUGAAGGAUGACUGCCCUAUGGGUUGUAAACUUCUUUUAUAUGGGAAUAAAAUGUUCCAUGUGUGGGACUUUGUAUGUACCUUAUGAAUAAGGAUCGGCUAACUCCGUGCCAGCAGCCGCGGUAAUACGGAGGAUCCGAGCGUUAUCCGGAUUUAUUGUGUUUAAAGGGAGCGUAGGUGGGUUGUUAAGUCAGUUGUGAAAGUUUGCGGCUCAACCGUAAAAUUGCAGUUGAAACUGGCAGUCUUGAGUACAGUAGAGGUGGGCGGAAUUCGUGGUGUAGCGGUGAAAUGCUUAGAUAUCACGAAGAACUCCGAUUGCGAAGGCAGCUCGCUGGACUGCAACUGACACUGAGGCUCGAAAGUGUGGGUAUCAAACAGGAUUAGAUACCCGAGUAGUC
rnacentral:rRNA from 1 species